CUGGUUUUGCAGGUUGGUGAUGGAGAUGACUCGUUGAAGGUUCAAAUUGCGCGAAGAAGAAAGGGAUUCACGAUUAGGGUUCCAUGACGAUUUGGGGAUUUAGGUUUUUGGUUUUCUGAUUUGGGAUUUUGAGGUUUUGAUUGGUGGUUCGAAUAAAUUUUGUUGUGUUCUUUGGGUUUACAAGUGCGAAGAGAAGGAAGAGGAAGACGCGGUGGUUAGCGAGUGUGAUGUCGCAGUCUGAUGGAGAAGACGAACAUGGUUGAUGCGUGAGGAAGCACAAAGGAGUUCACAAUUUAGGGUUUCUUUGUGGCAACGUGAUUUGGUAUUGGGUGGUUGAACGAAGAAGAUAAUGAUGGCACAUGGAGGAGAUGCUCUCCGUGGUCUCGAGAUUGGGUUGAUGGUGGUUGGUCGUGGAGUUUGGGAUUGCGAUGAUAAAGGUUGAACGCCAUGGUGACUUCACGAUUUUCGGCACAGUGGAUGUUGAUGGCGCAUGGUUGCUGGGUGGUAUAUAGGAGAAUUAAGGUUUCAGAUUUUUGGUGAUGAAGGUGGAGAUGACAUGACACGUAUCAUGAUAUGACGCGUUCUGGUUGAUCCAUGUGGGAUAAAGAAAAAAAUGAUUUGCAUUUGAUGUUAUUUUAUUUUCCUUUUUGUUUUUUUAUUCAACAUAUUUUACGCGUGUUUUGUCACAUCAUCACAAUGUUUUGCCACGUCACUACACUGUUAACACUCUUACUUGAAAAAUUAACGAAAUGAACUUGAUUGAUGCACAUCAAAUCAAUUAUGGACGAAGUUGAUACUUUUUUAAAAGUGAGGACCAAGUAUGUUUCAGUGACUAU